CCUACGGGCGGCUGCAGUGGGGAAUAUUGGACAAUGGGGGAAACCCUGAUCCAGCCAUGCCGCGUGUGUGAAGAAGGUCUUCGGAUUGUAAAGCACUUUAAGUUGGGAGGAAGGGCUUACGGUUAAUACCCGCUAAGUUUUGACGUUACCAACAGAAUAAGCACCGGCUAACUUCGUGCCAGCAGCCGCGGUAAUACGAAGGGUGCAAGCGUUAAUCGGAAUUACUGGGCGUAAAGCGCGCGUAGGUGGUUUGUUAAGUUGGAAGUGAAAGCCCCGGGCUCAACCUGGGAAUUGCUUUCAAAACUAGCAGGCUAGAGUACAGUAGAGGGUAGUGGAAUUUCCUGUGUAGCGGUGAAAUGCGUAGAUAUAGGAAGGAACAUCAGUGGCGAAGGCGACUACCUGGACUGAUACUGACACUGAGGUGCGAAAGCGUGGGGAGCAAACAGGCUUAGAUACCCCAGUAGUC
rnacentral:rRNA from 1 species